UAACUUCUUUGAUAAAGUUUCUGUAGACCAGGGACACACCACUGGACUUGACUUUCGACAUUAGGCAGUUCAAACAGUCAAGAUGUGAAAAAGAGGAACGUGAAAGACUGCACAUUAACUGGUAUCCUUGGUAUGAAUGAAGGGCAAAAGUGUGUUUUUCAAAAAUGUAUUUGGCGUAUGGCAUAUCAUACAUGGACUUUUGGUAUAGCACCAAUUACAGAGAAGAUGAGAGAAGGCUGGCUCUGCUGGUAUGGACAUGUCCAGAGAACAGCACCUUCCACUGUUGCCAAGACUGCCUACUAACUAGAAGUCAAUGGCCGGGGACCUCGCGGGCACCCAAAACUGAGAGGGCAAGACAGCAUCAACAAAGACAUAACAAGGCCGGAAUGCAGUAAAAAGCAAUAAAUCGUUUUAUGAUUCUAA